CUGAAACGCUGGCGGCGUGGCUAAGACAUGCAAGUCGCACGGGUGUAGCAAUACAUCAGUUGGCGAACGGGUGAGUAAUGAAUCGCUAAUUGUGCCCCGGACUCUGGGGAUAGCCAGUUCGAAAGAUUGGGUAAUACCAGAUGACAUAUUUCCUACCGGGCAUGGUCGGGAAUCUCAAAAGGUCCGCCGGUCCUGGGGGAGCAGGCGAUUUCGUAUCAGCUAGUUUGGUUGAGGUAAACGGCUUCACCAAGGCGACGACGCGUAGCCGGGACCUGAGAGGUUGGCCGGCCACAAUCGGGACUGAGACACUGCCCCGGACCUCCUACGGGGGGCUGCAGUAACGAAUCUUCCCCAAUGCACGCAAGUGUGAGGGAGCGACGGCCGCGUGGAGGACGAAGUCCCUUCGGGGAUGUAAAACUCCUGUCAGGGGAUACCAAGUUCUGAGGAUCCCCCAGAAGGAAGAGGCGGCUAACUCUGUGCAGCAGCCGCGGUAAGACCAGAGGGCCUCAAGCGUUAGGGCGGAAUCAACUGGGCUUAAAAGCGUGUGUAGGCGGGGUCGUUAAGUACCUUGUGAAAUCCCACGGCUCACCCGUGGAACUGCUGGGGUAUACUGGCGAUCUUUGGGCCAUUCAGGGGCCAACCUGGAACAAACGGUGGAGCGGUGAAAUGCGUAGAUAUCGUUUUGGGACGCCCAAAGGUGAAAACAGGUUGCUGGGAAUGUGCCGACGCUGAGACACGAAAGCCAGGGGGAGCAAACGGGAUUAGAUACCCCCGGUAGUCCCUGGCCCUAAACGAUGUCCACUAGAUUGCGGCGUCUUUGACGGCGUCCGCGGGUCGAAGCAAAAGUGUUAAGUGGACCGCCUGGGAAGUACGGGUCGCAAGGCCUAAAACUCAAAGGAAUUGACGGGGGCUCACACAAGCGGUGGAGCAAUGUGGUUCAAUUCGAAGCAACGCCGCAGAACCUUACCUGGGUUUGACAUGCUUGGAUUAUCUCGAUGAAAGUCGAGUAGGCCCCCGCAAGGGGUACAACAAGUACAGGUGCUGCAUGGCUGUCGUCCAGCUCGUGUUCGUGAGAUGUCGGGUUAAGUCCCUUAACGAGCGAAACCUUUACCCUUAGUUACCCAGCGGGUUAUGCCGGGGACCUCUAAGGGGGACCGCCGGUGUCAAACCGGAGGAAGGUGGAAGAUGACGUCAAGUCCUCAUGGCCUUUAUUGCCCAGGGCCACACACGUGCUACAAUUGGCGUUCAUAGAGCGACCCUAAAACCGCAAGGGUCAUGGAAUCGCAAAAAUAACGCCCCAGUUCAGAUCGGAGGCUGGCAACUCGCCUCCGUGAAGUUGGAAUCGCUAGUAAUCGCGGAUCAGCUACGGCCGCGGUGAAUGUGUUUUCCUUGAGCCUUGUACACACCGCCCCGUCAAAGUCAUGGGAGCCCGGAAUGGCCCGAAGUCGCCUGGAUUCACAGGUGCCUACGCCAGGCUCGGUGACUGGGACU
rnacentral:rRNA from 1 species